rnacentral:rRNA from 1 species
UACAGAGGUCUCGAGCGUUAGGCGGAAUCACUGGGCUUAAAGCGUGUGUAGGCGGAUCGGUAAGUACCUUGUGAAAUCCCACAGCUUAACUGUGGAACUGCUUGGUAUACUGCCAGUCUUGAGCCACUUAGGGGCUACCGGAACAAAUGGUGGAGCGGUGAAAUGCGUAGAUAUCAUUUGGAACGCCAAUGGUGAAAACAGGUAGCUGGGAGUGUGCUGACGCUGAGACACGAAAGCCAGGGGAGCAAACAGG